GUCGUUUGAUUUUUCUUGCACUCCCAUAUCUAUAUACAGAAUCGCAUUUUCAACGAACAUGAAAAUACAAAAAAGACAUCGUUGGCAGCGUUUCGUAAGUGCAGUGCGCUUAGAAGAUAUCAUUGUUGUAGAAACAAAAAAUUAUAUAAUGGAAUGCCAUUGUUGAUUAUGUUUCAGAUAGCUUUAAUCUACCUAUCUAUCUAUCUAUCUAUCUAUUUCUAUGUAUAUGUAUAUCUAUAUAUAUAGAUAUAAAUAUAGAUACAGAUAUACAGCAGUUUUGAAAUUUGAAAAUAUAUUAUGAAGACUUUAGGUAAUCUUAUUAAGCGUGUUUUGUAAUCAUUCCAACUUUUGAAAAAUUUAAAAACCGACAUAAUUGCUUUGUUCAAAAUCGAAAUUAUAUAUACAUAUUGUUCGAUAGAUCGAAGCAAUGUAAGCUUUAUUUUUUCCGAUUAUUAUUAUUGCGGUUAUUGAUAUGUUGGUUUCUGUUUGAGUUUGUUUAAAACUAGAAUAGGAUAUUGUUAGUUGAUUCGAUUCAAUUGUCAUUUGCAUGCGCUUAAACAUUAGCACAUCUUUUCGCCGAGAAUGAUUGUUCAUUUUAUUUCCAUUGAUCUCGCUGCUAGUUUAAAUAUACGUACCCUUCAAUAAGUAAAUAUAUGAUGAUUAUGCAUUGUUUUAACUUUGUUUAGUAUUAGCAGAAGUUAUAAAUUGAUAAGAUUCAUAAUGCAUGAAAAUUAAUUUGAGAAUAUUAUAAAUUAAGAUGGAAAUAUAUUUUUUAUGUACAUAUAUACUCAUUAUAAUAUCUUGUUUAUAUUUUCUUUUUAAUGGAACUUUACGAUACUUUGACAAGUAGAAAAUCAUAACCUAUAAUCGAGCAGCAGCUUAAGAUUUUCAGUUGCGAAAUUAUUUUUAUGUUGUAAUGAGAGAAUUCGUAUAACCGUAUAGCUUUUUUCUUCUCUAAAGAUUGCAUGGUAAUAAUUACGAAAUACGAUAUGCAGAAUGACAAAAUACAUUUGACAUUAUGCACGGUAAAACUGUUAGAUAGUAAUGAAAAUUGACACGUUCAGAGUUUACUUUUAAUAGCAAAUUGUUUAAUGUGAUUAUUGAUAAAAAGUUUGUCAUUUAAAGAGUAUAGAAGAGAACAUUAUAAUAAAUUGAUCCUAAAUAGAAAGUCUAAAAAUUUUAAAAGUAAACUUUGUAAUUCUAAAAAA